AAAUAUCAGAAACACCAAGUUUUUAAUUUUUUUUUAAGCUAUUUAAAUUAGAUAUUUUAAUAUAUAUUAUAUUUACUCUUACUAUCAUAUUUACCAAACAUAUUGCUGCUUAUUUUUACAAUUUUCAAACACAUUAAUUUCUUUUAACAUUUAGAGUUUCAAAAUUUUUAUAUUUGACAAAGAAUGUCUCUAUUUAUAACCCAAAAAAAAAAAGAAUGUCUCUAUUUAACAUAACUUACUCUAUAUUAACAAGACUUUCAUAAUUAAAAAAAAAAACAAAACAGUGAACAUUUGAUUUAUGCCAAUUAAACCGUGAAGAACUUAUUUAUGCAAUUUGUGGUGUUGGACAGUAAAUUAAUAUAUGUUUUUUAGAAAAAUAAUAUUAAUAAUCCAAAUUCUUCAAAAGUAAAAAUUAUAUAUAAUGUUCAUAUACAUUCAACUAACAAUAUUGAUAUUAAAUUAAAAAAAUGUCUCGCGGUACACCACUGGUUAGAUCCUAGUGACUCAAUUGAUUAUGCAAUACUAUAUAUCAUCAAUUAAACUUUCUGAAAGUAUUAUAUUUCUAUAGUAUUAUUAUUAUCUUUGACUAAUUUAUGAAAGUUUGUGGUGUAAUUUAAGACUAGUUGACUACUAUUUUAUGUUCUGCAUUUAACAAAAAAAGCUCAUAUUAUAUUUACUUUUACUAUCAUAUUUACCAAACAUAUUGCUUCUUAUUCUUACAAUUUUCAAACACAUUAAUUCUUUUAACAUUUAGAGUUUCAAUUUUUUUAUAUUUGACAAAGAAUGUCUCUAUUUAUAACCAAAAAAAAAAAAGAAUGACUCUAUUUAACAUAACUUACUCUAUAUUAACAAGACUUUCAUAAUUAAAACAACGAAACAGUGAACAUUUGAUUUUUGCCAAUUAAAC
rnacentral:lncRNA from 1 species